AGCGAACGCUGGCGGCAGGCCUAACACAUGCAAGUCGAACGGACCCUUCGGGGUUAGUGGCGGACGGGUGAGUAACACGUGGGAACGUGCCUUUAGGUUCGGAAUAACUCCGGGAAACGUGUGCUAAUGCCGAAUGUGCCCUUCGGGGGAAAGAUUUAUCGCCUUUAGAGCGGCCCGCGUCUGAUUAGCUAGUUGGUGAGGUAACGGCUCACCAAGGCGACGAUCAGUAGCUGGUCUGAGAGGAUGACCAGCCACACUGGGACUGAGACACGGCCCAGACUCCUACGGGAGGCAGCAGUGGGGAAUCUUGCGCAAUGGGCGAAAGCCUGACGCAGCCAUGCCGCGUGAAUGAUGAAGGUCUUAGGAUUGUAAAAUUCUUUCACCGGGGACGAUAAUGACGGUACCCGGAGAAGAAGCCCCGGCUAACUUCGUG
rnacentral:rRNA from 1 species